UACGGAAGGCAGCAGUGGGGAAUAUUGCACAAUGGGCGCAAGCCUGAUGCAGCCAUGCCGCGUGUAUGAAGAAGGGCCUUCGGGUUGUAAAGUACUUUCAGUCGUGAGGAAGGUGUUAAGGUUAAUAACCUUAGCAAUUGACGUUAGCGACAGAAGAAGCACCGGCUAACUCCGUGCCAGCAGCCGCGGUAAUACGGAGGGUGCGAGCGUUAAUCGGAAUUACUGGGCGUAAAGGGCACGCAGGCGGUUAAUUAAGUUGGAUGUGAAAUCCCCGGGCUUAACCUGGGAAUGGCAUUCAAGACUGGUUAGCUAGAGUCUUGUAGAGGGGGUAGAAUUCCAUGUGUAGCGGUGAAAUGCGUAGAGAUGUGGAGGAAUACCGGUGGCGAAGGCGGCCCCUGGGACAAAGGACUGACGCUCAUGUGCGAAAGCGUGGGGAGCAAACAGGGAUUAGAUACC
rnacentral:rRNA from 1 species